UACGUAGGGUGCGAGCGUUGUCCGGAAUUAUUGGGCGUAAAGAGCUCGUAGGCGGUUUGUCGCGUCUGCCGUGAAAGUCCGGGGCUCAACUCCGGAUCUGCGGUGGGUACGGGGCAGACUAGAGUGAUGUAGGGGGAGACUGGAAUUCCUGGUGUAGCGGUGAAAUGCGUAGGAUAUCUGGAGGAACACCGGUGGCGAAGGCGGCACUCUGGGCCGGAACUGACGCUGAGGAGCGAAAGCGUGGGGAGCGAACAGG
rnacentral:rRNA from 1 species